AUUGAACGCUGGCGGCAGGCCUAACACAUGCAAGUCGAGCGGCAGCGGAAAGUAGCUUGCUACUUUGCCGGCGAGCGGCGGACGGGUGAGUAAUGUCUGGGGAUCUGCUGAUGGAGGGGGAUAACUACUGGAAACGGUAGCUAAUACCGCAUAACGUUGCAAGACCAAAGUGGGGGACCUUCGGGCCUCACGCCAUCGAAUGAACCCAGAUGGGAUUAGCUAGUAGGUGGGGUAAUGGCUCACCUAGGCGACGAUCCCUAGCUGGUCUGAGAGGAUGACCAGCCACACUGGGACUGAGACACGGCCCAGACUCCUACGGGAGGCAGCAGUGGGGAAUAUUGCACAAUGGGCGCAAGCCUGAUGCAGCCAUGCCGCGUGUGUGAAGAAGGCCUUCGGGUUGUAAAGCACUUUCAGCGAGGAGGAAGGGUGGUGUGUUAAUAGCACACGACAUUGACGUUACUCGCAGAAGAAGCACCGGCUAACUCCGUGCCAGCCGCCGCCGUAA
rnacentral:rRNA from 1 species